GAGCUUCCCAUGCCGGGCACGCCCCCUGCAGGUCGGGCCUGCAGCUCGGCGCUACGGAUCCUGGACGCAGGGGUGCUUGGCUCUCCCCAGCGGUGCCUGUUACGCCCUCUGCAGGCCGGGCAGGCUCUCCAACGCUGACACGCGCCCCGGGUGGAGCUGCGAACGCUGUCGCCAUUUUCCCCUGGGCCCGGGGUAAAUUUGCACCUCUGAUGUGGCCAACGCCCUGCGCCUCCGCUGACCCCGGGAAAGGGCCUGGUGCACUGGGCGUCCCCUGGGUCGCGGAGGUACAGGGAGGGGACAGCGGAUACCAGAGCGUCGCUGGGGAAGGCCGGGCCUUGCAAUUCGCAGACCGGUGCGGGCCCUCUUCCCCGAGGUCCCGGGACACAGACAUCCGGGCACACGGUGCUAGUUUCCGCGGGGUAGUUUGGGGUAGUUUUCAGUCUUCUCUCUUCCUUGCUUGGUUAUUACUUUGAAACCGAAAAGGCAACCACAGCUAUGCUGGACCUUUUUUUUUUUUUUUUUGACGGAGUUUCGCUCUUGUCGCUCAGGCUGGAGUGCAGUGGCGCGAUCUCGGCUGACAGCAACCUCCGCCUCCCGGGUUCCAGUGAUUCUCCUGCCUCAGCCUCCUGAGUAGCUGGGGUUACAGGCGCCAGCCACCACGUCCAGCUAAUUUUUUUUUUUUUGGUAUUUUUUAGUAGAGACGGGGUUUCGCCAUUUUGGGCAGACUGGUCUCGAACUCCUGACCUCAGGUGAUCCGCCCGCCUCGGCCUCCCAAAGUGCUGGGAUUACAGGCGUGAGCCACCGCGCCCGGCCGGACUUGACCAUUUUUAAAAUGUUAUGAAUGACACAUUUAGAGACGUGCGUACACACGUGUGUUCAUAUGUUCACAUUUACCCACACACCUUGAUUUGUCCCCUGCCCCAGUCCCGCUGCAUUCCUACCUCUCCACUCUACCCCGCAGCUCCCACUAGGUAUGUUCUAGAACAGAUACAGGUUGCUAGCACCGUCCACUAGCUGUUCCCAACAUCAGUUACAAAUCUCCGCGAGGGACAAAAACAUCUGUUCAGUCAGAGACUGGGGAAGUCAAGACUGCGGGUGCCGCACUGCGGGGAUGCACAAAUCCGGAGCCGAGUCAGAGAGAGCCCCUUGCCCCCUCCCGCUGCGGUCGGCGGUGGCAAAAGAUUUUCGAGAUAGCAGGUAGUACAUGCACAUGGAGAAAAGAAUUUCAAGCAGGACAAAAGAGUGCACAUGCAAGCAGACCCAGACAGACAAGUUUCCUGAGUCAUCCACAUCGCUGACGAUAUCUGACUUGGUGGUUUCUCAUCGCACCUCCUCAGCAGUUCGCCCGGCGGUUCCCGGGGAGAACGGCGGCCUUCCCUGCCCGGUUCUAGGCGAGCGUAACCAGCUCUUUUUGACUUCCGAAGUGAGGCUUCCUGGUAUCAAACGCUCAUUAUUGACUACCUUGAGAUCUAAUAUGGUUGGAGGUAUAUGGAGGGGGGCUCAUUUUUCUUUUCAUUUCCCGAUUCCAUUCACAGUUAACGUUACCGACGGUUAAUAAAAUGUAGCUUGUGACUGUAAUAUCGGGACGGAGAGGUCCCAAUAAAUGUCAAAAGAUAUAAGACAAAAAAGUAUCUUGCGACUGUACGCGGGACUGCAUUGCUCCCAGUUUUGGCUAUAGAUGCACUAAAAUAACCUGUUAACACACACCAAAGUGCAUCCUUAUAAUAACCUCCUCAAUCAUUUAUUAAAAGUCGUGUCAAGCAGGCCCGUAUAAUUCAUCUCUAUGCAAAUACAUCAAUGUCAGGCCAUUAGUGUAUUGCUCAGGUUUUUAUUAAAGUGCAUUCUUUUUAAUUCAGCCCCGUAAAAUACGAGCCCCAUUGCUCAAGAAUUAUAGCAACUAUUAGAGUAACAUAUGGGCAACAUGCACUCAGAAAAUAAAAACCAACAGAUAAAGUGGCAGGGUCACAUCGCAGGAGCAAACACUUAACAAAAUGGCAGUGGGGUAAUAGAUUUUUCUCCCAAGGCCUUUGGCGAAAGGGUGUCAUGGGCAUUAACACCUAAGGAAAGGCAGAGCCUGGAAGUUACUCUGCAAGGAAAGGUAGAGCCUCGAAGUUACUCUGUGCUGUCUCAAACUCAGAACCAGCCAGGACUGGCAUCUCUGGAGUUAGGAGAGGGGAGGCUUCCUGAGCUCCUCCACAUUCGGCUACCAUCUUUCUAUAAAAGGAUUUCAACAUACCCCAGAGAAGGGUGUUCGGCUUUUUCUUAAAGCAAGAAUCCCUUGAGAGAUUUCGAUGUAGGGUUUAUGGCCCAACGCUCCUCCCUCUCUCCUCUCCACUCCACUCCGCCACCUCCUUCCUCAUCUUGGCUAUCUCUCAUCCCACACUUGCCUCACUGGGAGUCCCACCCACCUCUAGUACUUUCUGGGAUCACCCUUCCAUCCCUGCCUCUGCAGGAAGGUUGAGAAGGCCCGUGGAUGUGUAGGCAAAUUUCCCUCUCAUAUGUGGAAGCCUGUGUAAAAACUUCCCAUUGAAAUCAAUCCAUAGCUAAAAAUAAAACAUAUUUUAGCUCCCAACUCAGAAGAAACUUAAAUGCCCUCUGCCUGCACCCCUCACCUGGCACUGGCACUCGGGGACGCCCAAGUUUCCCAGGUUAGAAUGCAUUGCUGCAAAUUUUGUCAAACCGGGGAAAACUCUAGCCUGAUCUGAGAGUGAUUUUGCUAUUUUAGUUACUGAGGACAGAGUGGUGGCCAGUGGGUGGUGCCCUGCAGCCCUUCAGCAGACGCCUAGGCUUGAGAUGGAAUGGGGAAGAGAGAGAGAGAGAGAGAAUGAGAGAGAGAGAGAGAGAGAGAGAGAGAGAGAGAGAGAGAGAAGAGAGCACGCACGAGCAAACUGGUUUGCAACAGCAGCUGACAAAUCCACUGGAGAAGUCAGCAGCAUCAAAUUCAGUUUUUUAUUUUUGAUUGCCAUUAGAACAAUCAAUUUUCAGAGGCUGGAAAAUAAACCUCAAAUCCAAAACACAACACAGCCUAGAC